GUAAUUGACUGAUUAUUAAGGUUAUACAUGAUUGGCUUAGGCCUGUAAUUGACUGAUUAUUGAGGUUAUAUAUGAUUGGCUUAGGCCUGUAAUUGACUGAUUAUUAAGGUUAUACAUGAUUGGCUUAGGCCUGUAAUUGACUGAUUAUUGAGGUUAUAUAUGAUUGGCUUAGGCCUGUAAUUGACUGAUUAUUGAGGUUAUAUAUGAUUGGCUUAGGUCUGUAAUUGACUGAUUAUUGAGGUUAUAUAUGAUUGGCUUGGGCCUGUAAUUGACUGAUUAUUGAGGUUAU